rnacentral:lncRNA from 1 species
AGAGCGCCUGCGCGGGAGGGUGACCACAGGCGGCCGGGCGGGAUGUCCUGUCCGCCGUCUUCAGCCCAGCCGCCACCACCCAUAAGCUAUGAGGAGGAGUUUACGACCACCUGGACUACUACCACCUGCGUGACUUCCCGGCCUGAGGGGUCCGCGCAGCAAAGGCCUGACGCUGCUGGAGCAGGCGCUGCGCACCUACCGGCUGGCGCCUGGUAGGCACGAGUGCAGGGUCGCCCAGAAGCUCCUCAAUGGCCGGCGCAAGUGCCAGCCAGCGCCAGCUGCAGCCCUGGCCGCGCACUCGCCUCAGCUGAGCCUGGGUAUGUGCACCCCCCAACACUUCCCCCAGCCAUGUUCCCGGGACCUCGGGAGCGUCCCCCACCGCCCGGUGCCAUUCGUGCUGGGCAGGGUCGGCCCCCUUUGAGGCUGCCCCGCGUUAGGGAGCUGCACCGCACCCCCACCAGCUUGACCUCUGACUGCCGUUGCAAUAGCAUUAAAGCCUUUGGAACUUUGUAGGGCCUUCACCAUCUCUGUCAUCUGGAGAAUUUGUUCCCAUCAGGAAUCUCCCACCUGGCAGUGGGACCAUGCUAGUAGCCUGUCCAUUUCCUGCAGAUAAAAAAGAGAGAAUUUCAGAACUUCCACAGAUGCCAGUGUUCUCUCCUUUUUUCACAUGGGAAAAUUCCCUUGAAACUCAUUUGAAGCUUGGACAAAAAUUCCACAGCUGUAUUCUUCAGGAUCACUUUGCAGAGUCUUCAAGACUCAGAUACAGAGGAAGCUUCAAUUCAACCUUUCAGAGAAGACAUUCCAGCUCGCAUGAUCUCAUCAACCAAGAGAAUGUUGGUGGCAAUCAGUGCUGAAAGGGGGAUAAAAAUUAGAUAGCUCAGAUGAUUAGGAGCCCUAAUUCGACUCAACUUCCCACUUCCAACUAAGCUGCACACGUUAACAUCCAAUUAAAUUUCCCCCUUCCCCUCUACACAUCAGAGGGCGAGUUCGGUUUCCAUACUUUUCAGCUGAUUACAUUAUUCAUGGGGGAAAAUGAGCGACUAAACAGAAAACACCAAAUGAAAAGAGUAUGAUGAUUCUCUAACAGUUUAGUUUUCAUUUUCCCAAACUUACCAGGAAUGAAGAAGCUGUUUCUUUACACAAUCGUUAUCCCAUAAUGCCUGCUUCUGCUGCUACCACGGGCUCACCUAAAAGGCAACCAAAGUAAGUUCAGUCAAUAAGAACCAACAAUACUGUGUGUGGCUUUGCUUAUCACCGAUGACUCAUUUCCUCCAGUAUUAACUAUGGGAAUUCAAAGCUUCUCUGUUAGCCCAAUUUUCUACUCUAAACCAUGACCCCUGUCCACAAUAUUUGAGGAGUGUCUGACUUCUACUUAGAAGACCUGAACACCCCUCUCUCCUUCUGGAUACAUUUCUGUUUACCCAUACUAAAGUACAGCACUGCAACUCUAAUCUGGCUAAAAUGGACUGAUCAUUUCCCUCAUUCCAGAAAUCUUUUUUAUUAAAUAAUAAUGUUGACAGC